GAGAUGGAUUGCAAGGCUGGGCUAUUUGGUGGAUAAAGAGUGAGCUGGAUGGUCACAGCCAGAGGGCUGAGGUCGGUGUCUCCAUGUCCAGGUGGAGGCCGGUAAGGAGCGGUGUCCCCCAGGGGCCCAUCUUGGGAUCAGAGCUCUUCAACAUCUUUAUCAGCGCCACAGACAGUGGGAUCGAGUGCACCCUCAGUGAAUUUGCUGAUGACACCAAGCUGAGUGGUGCAGCGAAUACAAUGUAAGGAAGGGAUGCCAUCCAGAGGGACCUGGCCAGGCUUGAAAAGUGGGCCUGAUCUUUGUUCCUCGUUAAUACCUAGUGGUGGUGGUGCACUGGGGAAGAGGCUGGGCAGUGCUUUAGACAAUUACCCUUCCAUUCCCUCAGAUUGCAGACAGGCCCUCACUCAGGUUGGCUGUGGUAAAGAAACCAUACUGUAAAAAUAGGAACUUCCUGUGCAGCCGGUGAGAAACCUGAGGCGAGUCAGCAUCCACGCAAGCUGACUGAAGGGGUUGUGCAGAACAACAGGCACAAUGGCCGGGAAAGUGAGGGGCUCCAGCUCUGCCCCUUGCUUUGAAGCUGCCCGUGUGCCCGGUGUUUCAGGCGGAGGGGAGCAGCUCCUUCCCACCUGCGUUGCUGUGGGAUGUGGUGGGUCAGUGCUAUGUGCUGGAGGUUGUGCUGCCUUUCAGGAGGGGUAGGAGAAAGGUUGGAGGAGUGCCUGCAGCAUUCCCAGUCUUUAAAGAGACUGAUUAUAGUUGACAGCUCUUCACUGUGUUUUUACAAGGAGAGAUUAUCCUUCUGGGCUGGGAUAAUAUGACAGUGGGCUGUCACAUCGUUCUGCUUACGGGCAUAAGCUACUGACUGGAGCUGUUUUGCUGGGACCCCUCAGAGCAGAUGAGCACAUCCCAGACAAGUUGUCAGCAGAGUAUCAGAGGAAGCACGUUUGAUGUUUGCAGGGGCUUCUCUUCCCCCUGCAAUGACCUGAGACUUGGGCUGAGGCUCGCCGUUCUGGGAGCUGAGGGAAAAAACCCUGUAAGUUACAGGCACACCUCGAGUCUUGGCUCUGAGCACAGAGAAUGUGGCUUUGUCAUGGGAGAAAGGGGUUGUCUGUCCCCCUCCUGCUGGGCUGAAGGUGCCCGAGUGGUAUGCAGAUUCCUGUCACCGUGGCUGAGUGUCUCUGGGACACAUGCAGGAGGUGACAGUGCUAGAUCCCAGCAGCCAUGGAUUGUCUCCAGCCUUGGGAGGCGUGGGGCGCUCGAGCUGUGACUGGAGCUUAGAGAUCCAUUGCUGAGCAUGUGGGACGUACAGGAGCAGGGCUUGGGAUGAGGGUGCUAAAAUUAACUCCCGUGUUCUUCCCUAAAAUGGCUUUAUUUACUUCUGCAGGAGGAGAAAGUGAGGAACUCACCAGCCCUUGUUUACCGUCUGGUUUCAAAUCUGGGUGGCAGCAUGCUGAGAUAGUGUACGAAAUCAAAGGACAGCAGGCAGCCUCUGUGUCACUCUUGCUCUGACAAAGCAGCAAAGAUGCUCCACCAGAGAGCGCAUAAAGGUGAGGAAGUGAAGGACUUGGAUUUUCAUGCUUUCCCCUGCUGUGAUGCUUUGUUCAGCAGAGGCCGGACUCAUAGGUAAGCUUGUUUUCAUUUCAUUGCACUUUAAAUGGCAGGUAGUAGAAGAAGUGGCAGCCAUGAUACACACACAUCGUGAUGCUGUGCUAAGCUGCCACGAGUACUGCGGUACGAUGAUCUCAAGCAGAUAUUGAUGGCUGUUGCAUUUCUCUAUAGAAGGGACUGGGGAUGUGAGAUAGGACCUCCAGCUGGUACGGGCAAACUUACCCUCUCCUCAGCCACUAAGGAUUUGGUGCAGGACCAUGUCUGAGACCUUGCACAAGUCCUGAACUGCAUUUUGAGUGAUCCCUCCUGAGAAAGACAUUGCUUUGUGAGUUUGAGUUGGUGCCUCGGCACGGUGGUGGAAUUGCUGGAUCAAAUGAGAGAGGCCCGUGAGUUUGGCACAGAGCUCGUGAUGCAUUUGGCAGCACUGGUGUUGGGUCAGGGUAAGAAGUAAGGGCCAUAAACGUGAGUGAGCCACAAAAAGAAACCCCGAACGCAGCUCGCUGGACUUCACAGGUGUUCGUGCCUCGGCAGGGGCAGGGCUAAACGCCAUUGCACGGGGUCUCACUGCAGGCGGAUCUCACUCUGCCCAACCAACGUACCGCCGCCGCACCGAGCUGCAGCCGGCUGACUGCAAUGCACCACUCCG
rnacentral:lncRNA from 1 species